GCGAUUUGCAAGGUGGAAACAGUAAGAGGUGUCUGGUGAGACUCCGGCAGCUCAACAAUAGGGAGCGGCUUGAAGUGCGGCGUAGAAGAAAGGAAAGAGGUAUUACGCAAGCCGACAUAGGAAAGUAGCUGAGUGAGAGAAGGAGUUCCUCUAACGAUCUGAACAAAGAUCUGAAAGAAGAAAAGAAGCCAGUUAAGCAGUGACCUCCAGGCAGGUAGAGUCCUCGGAGCGUAAACACCGGCGGCCUGAGCCAGCUCGGCCAUAGGUUCACCGGUAAGGGAAGGAGGCUGGUAAAGUAACGUGAAAA
rnacentral:misc_RNA from 1 species